CUUUGGGAGGCCAAGGCAGGAGGACUGCUUGAGGCCAGGAAUUCAAGACCAACCUGGGCAAUAUAACAACACUCUGUCUCUACCAAAAAAUUUGAAAAUUAGCCAGGUAUGGCAGUAUGUGCCUACAGUUCCAGGCAUACUCAUGAAGCUGAGGUAGGAAGAUUACUUGAGCUCAGGAGCUCAUGGCUGCAGUGAGCUAUGAUGACGCCACUG